AUUGAACGCUGGCGGCAGGCCUAACACAUGCAAGUCGAACGAGUGGCGGACGGGUGAGUAACGUCUGGGAAACUGCCUGAUGGAGGGGGAUAACUACUGGAAACGGUAGCUAAUACCGCAUACCAUCAGAUGUGCCCAGAUGGGAUUAGCUUGUUGGUGGGGUAACGGCUCACCAAGGCGACGAUCCCUAGCUGGUCCGGGAGGAUGACCAGCCACACGGGAACUGAACACCGGUCCAAACUCCUACGGGAGGCAGCAGGGGGGAAUAUUGCACAAUGGGCGCAAGCCUAAUGCAGCCAUGCCGGGUAUAUGAAGAAGGCUUUCGGGUUGUAAAGUACUUUCAGCGGGGAGGCGUUACCCGAAGAAGAAGCACCGGCUAACUCCGUGCCAGCAGCCGCGGUAAUAC
rnacentral:rRNA from 1 species